GAUAGGCUGAAACUGGGGCAGGCUUGUUUGUCAAGUGACCAGCGCAGAGGACAUUAGGUUCAUGCAGCCCUGAGGGAGAUUGUUUUUGAUGACGGAUGUUGAGGUUGGAAUCAGUAAGUUUGCCCUACCUGCCCAACACACACCCAUUUACCUGCCUCGAUGAGAGAUUGGAGUUGACGAAAGCAAAAGUGCUUCCGUAGAGCAGCCAGAGUGAGAGAAGAAGGUGCAGGGGGAAAUGUGCUGAACACGCUAGAACAGGCAAGCUUCCACCAAAGACACCAGAGUUUGCCGGGGUGAGGAUGCUGAAGCUCGGCUGGAAAUGCCGAUUCCUGAAGUCGCAGAUGUUCAUGGCCUCCAGCGUCAGAUACACCAGGUGAGUUGUGUGGUUUAUGUGCCCUCUGUCACCUCCUAGAACAUUUCCAACCUGUCCGCUCCCUAUGCUUCCACAUCCCCUGCCCGCUCUACCAUUGGC